UGGCAGUGAUGACAAGUUUACGUUUCUCGAUUCUGAACUGGUUUUCUAUUUCUUAAAUUUGUUUGAAUUUAAGGACCAAACAGCUCCCUGAUGACAGCGUUUGUGCGUGUCUGAGCCUU